GCUCUCGUCGUUCAAUGGAUAGGACGUUAGCUUGCGGAGCUAGCGAUGCAGGUUCGAUUCCUGCCGAGAGCACCA
rnacentral:tRNA from 1 species